UGGCGGAGGUGAAGUGCUGCGGUCGCAGUAACUCGAGCCAUUCGCACAAUGUUCGCCAGAUGGCCGCACGCUUUGUUCGUUCGGCUCGCGUUACUGAGACGCUCUUGUCGUCAGCAGAUAAAA
rnacentral:precursor_RNA from 10 species